UGGGGGAUAUUGCACAAUGGGCGAAAGCCUGAUGCAGCGACGCCGCGUGGGGGAUGAAGGCCUUCGGGUUGUAAACUUCUUUUGCUCUGAACAAGGCAUGCCUUUGGGGUGUGUUGAGUGUAGGGGUUGAUUAGCGCCGGCUAACUACGUGCCAGCAGCCGCGGUAAUACGUAGGGCGCGAGCGUUGUCCGGAAUUAUUGGGCGUAAAGGGCUUGUAGGUGGCUGGUUGCGUCUGUCGUGAAAGCUCAUGGCUUAACUGUGGGUUUGCGGUGGGUACGGGCUGGCUUGAGUGCAGUAGGGGAGGCUGGAAUUCCUGGUGUAGCGGUGGAAUGCGCAGAUAUCAGGAGGAAUAUCGGUGGCGAAGGCGGGUCUCUGGGCUGUUACUGACGCUGAGGAGCGAAAGCGUGGGGAGCGAACAGG
rnacentral:rRNA from 1 species